rnacentral:rRNA from 1 species
UACGUAGGGGGCAAGCGUUGUCCGGAAUCAUUGGGCGUAAAGCGCACGUAGGCGGUCUUUUAAGUCGGGGGUGAAAUCCUGGAGCUCAACUCCAGAACUGCCUUCGAUACUGGAAGACUUGAGUCCGGGAGAGGUGAGUGGAACUGCGAGUGUAGAGGUGAAAUUCGUAGAUAUUCGCAAGAACACCUGUGGCGAAGGCGGCUCACUGGCCCGGUACUGACGCUGAGGUGCGAAAGCGUGGGGAGCAAACAGG